AUUGAACGCUGGCGGCAUGCCUUACACAUGCAAGUCGAACGGCACCGCGGGGCAACCUGGAGGCGAGUGGCGAACAGGAGAGUAAUAUAUCGCAGCGUACCCUGCAGUGAGGGAUAACGUAACGAAAGUUACACUAAUACCGCAUACUAUCUAAGGAUGAAAGUGGGGGAUCGCAAGACCUCAUGCUCCUGGAGCGGCCGAUAUCUGAUUAGCUAGUUGGUGGGAGAAAGGCCUACCAAGGCAUCGAUCAGUAGCUGGUCUGAGAGGACGACCAGCCACACUGGAACUGAGACACGGUCAAUACUCCUACAGGAGGCAGCAGUGAGUAAUUUUGGACAAUGGACGAAAGCCUGAUCCAGCAAUGCCGCGUGAAUGAAGAACGCCUUCGGGUUGUAAAGCUCUUUUGUCAAGGAAGAAACAGUGAGAGCUAAUAUCUCUUGCUAAUGACGGUACCUGAAGAAUAAGCACCGGCUAACUACGUGCCAGCAGCCGCGGUAAUACGUAGGGUGCAAGCGUUAAUCGCAAUUACUGGGCGUAAAGCGUGCACAUGCGGUUUUGUAGUCUGUCGUGAAUCCCCGGGCUCAACCUGAGAAUUGCGAUGGAGACUGCAAUGCUAGAAUCUGGCAGAGGGGGGUGGAAUUCCACGUGUAGCAGUGAAAUGCGUAGAGAUGUGGAGGAACACCGAUGGCGAAGGCAGCCCCCUGGGUCAAGAUUGACGCUCAUGCACGAAAGCGUGGGGAGCAAACAGGAUUAGAUACCCUGGUAGUCCACGCCCUAAACGAUGUCUACUAGUUGGCGGGUUUUAAUUAACUUGGUAACGCAGCUAACUCGUGAAGUAGACCGCCUGGGGAGUACGGUCGCAAGAUUAAUACUCAAAGGAAUUGACGGGGACCCGCACAAGCGGUGGAUGAUGUGGAUUAAUUCGAUGCAACGCGAAAAACCUUACCUACCCUUGACGUGUACGGAAGCCACCAUAGAUAGAGGUGUGCUCCAAAGAGAGCCGGAACACAGGUGCUGCGUGGGUGUCGUCAUCUCGUGUCGUGAGAUGUUGGGUUAAGUCCCGCAACGAGCGCAACCCUUGUCAUUAGUUGCUACGAAAGAGCACUCUACUGAGACUGCCGGUGACAAACCGGAGGAAGGUGGGGAUGACAUCAAGUCCUCAUGGCCCUUAUGGGUAGGGCUUCACCCGUCAUACGAUGGUACAUACAGGGGGCCGCCAACCCGCGAGGGGGAGCUAAUCCCAGAAAGUGUAUCGUAGUCCGGAUUGUAGUCUGCAACUCGACUGCAUGACGUUGGAAUCGUUAGGAUUCGCGGAUCAGCAUGUCGCGGUGAAUACGUUCCCGGGUCU
rnacentral:rRNA from 1 species